rnacentral:lncRNA from 1 species
GCCUUGUCAACCCACGCGGGGAGCCCCACUCCCAUCCCCAAGGUGCACAAAGUUGAGAAACACCCCUGCUCCCACGUCCAUGCUCACUCAGGGCCCUGCUCCAAGUGCUUGGCACUCACACCAGCCUCCCGCCCUCCAUGCCACAGGCAGUGUGGAGGCCCAGCGAGGGGACCCCAGGAACCCAGACCAUGAGCUUAUGUGGCCAAAGACAGCAGCCAGCACCAAGACAUCAAAGAGGGCGGGUAGAAAGAUCAUCACAUCGGGAUUGACUGUGGCCGGCACCAGGUUCCUCUGUACUUCUGGAAUACACAGGCCUCUCCUUCCUAUCCCUGAAGCGCCCAUGCCCCCACCCCAGCACCCCAAAGACCAGCCCAAUAUAUGCAUUUGUCCUGGGUCAGCCCCACUGUCCAAGCAACUGCAAUUUCUCACUAGAGAGCCAGGGCAGGGCAGGGUGUAGGAGGGGUCCCUGGAAGAUGCCCCCAGAAUGCC